rnacentral:scRNA from 1 species
GUUGAUUAGAUUGUGCAUUGGAUUGUUGUGCU